AACGAACGCUGGCGGCAGGCUUAACACAUGCAAGUCGAGCGCCCCGCAAGGGGAGCGGCAGACGGGUGAGUAACGCGUGGGAAUCUACCCAGCUCUACGGAACAACUCCGGGAAACUGGAGCUAAUACCGUAUACGUCCUUCGGGAGAAAGAUUUAUCGGAGUUGGAUGAGCCCGCGUUGGAUUAGCUAGUUGGUGGGGUAAUGGCCUACCAAGGCGACGAUCCAUAGCUGGUCUGAGAGGAUGAUCAGCCACACUUGGACUGAGACACGGCCCAGAAUCCGACGGGAGGCAGCAGUGGGGAAUAUUGGACAAUGGGCGAAAGCCUGAUCCAGCCAUGCCGCGUGAGGGAUGAAGGCCCUAGGGUUGUAAAGCUCUUUCACCGGUGAAGAUAAUGACGGUAACCGGAGAAGAAGCCCCGGCUAACUUCGUGCCAGCCGCCGCCGUAA
rnacentral:rRNA from 1 species